AGAGUUUGAUCCUGGCUCAGGAUGAACGCUGGCGGCAUGCCUAAUACAUGCAAGUCGAACGAGAGACCUUCGGGUCUCUAGUGGCGAACGGGUGAGUAACACGUAGGGAACCUGCCCGCGCACCGGGAAUACGCUCUGGAAACGGAGAACAAAUCCCGAUGUACAGGAAGGAGGCAUCUUCUUUCUGUGAAACAUCCUUUCGGGGAUGGGGCGCGGAUGGACCUGCGGUGCAUUAGUUGGUUGGCGGGGUAAAGGCCCACCAAGACGAUGAUGCAUAGCCGGCCUGAGAGGGCGGACGGCCACAUUGGGACUGAGACACGGCCCAGACUCCUGCGGGAGGCAGCAGUAGGGAAUUUUCGUCAAUGGGCGCAAGCCUGAACGAGCGAUGCCGCGUGAGUGAAGAAGGCCUUCGGGUCGUAAAGCUCUGUUGCGGGGGAAAAAAGGCAGCAUCAGGAAAUGGGUGCUGACUGAUGGUGCCCCGCCAGAAAGUCACGGCUAACUACGUGCCAGCAGCCGCGGUAAUACGUAGGUGGCGAGCGUUAUCCGGAAUGAUUGGGCGUAAAGGGUGCGCAGGCGGUCCUGCAAGUCUGGAGUGAAACGCAUGAGCUCAACUCAUGCAUGGCUUUGGAAACUGGAGGACUGGAGAGCAGGAGAGGGCGGUGGAACUCCAUGUGUAGCGGUAAAAUGCGUAGAUAUAUGGAAGAACACCAGUGGCGAAGGCGGCCGCCUGGCCUGUUGCUGACGCUGAGGCACGAAAGCGUGGGGAGCAAAUAGGAUUAGAUACCCUAGUAGUCCACGCCGUAAACGAUGAGGACCAAGUGUUGGGGGUGAAACCUCAGUGCUGAAGUUAACGCAGUGAGUCCUCCGCCUGGGGAGUAUGCACGCAAGUGUGAAACUCAAAGGAAUUGACGGGGGCCCGCACAAGCGGUGGAGUAUGUGGUUUAA
rnacentral:rRNA from 1 species